rnacentral:ncRNA from 2 species
AACAGAGUAGGAGAAACUACGUUAAGUGUUCGUGGAUGGGAUGUUGUCACGAAACGAAAUGACAGUUCAUGCGAUAGUUCUCCGCUUCCGCUGGU